UACCAAAAGCAUUUUUCGUGCAAUGGCCGCUAAAUGCCUUUUGUUGGUCGGCUGUUUGUUGAUGGGCAGGUAAUGUACCGUACUUUUAUGUUGCAUGCAGUUGUUGUUGAUACAAAUGCCUGGAACCCCCCCCCCCCCCUCGCCUCCCCUGUGGCUUUCACCCAUUAUUCUGAGAUGUGUAGCCUCAGGGGACGAGAACUCCUUCAUUCAAUUUUAAAUUCACGCAAUUUGGUUUUGUUUGGUUCAUUUCAUCCCUUUACCUAUUACCUCAUUUCCUCUGUUGUUGACAGACAAGCAGAAUAACACACACGCACACACAGACACACACACCUGGGACAGGGGUCAUCUAACUGAACCCUGGUUUACCUGUCUACUAGGUAAACAGAACAAAACCCAGACUUUGUCCUGUCAAACACAGCUCUUAUCUCAGGUAACGGGAUGGAAUGAAAAUCUGGAGCUCGGAUCAAACCUUCUCAAUCGACGAGUCAUCCGAAAAACAGUGCUUUGCAUGAUGGGAAACUCAACAACCAAGUUGGACUAAUGCCUUUCAUCAUUCAUCAUUUCAUCACACGUCCGUCAUGCAGGGAGACAUUAUGAAUGAUCUUCCCUUAUCGGCCCUGAACAGUACGGCUGAGCUUAAUUGAUUUGUUCAGAGCUUUACUUCACCUUUGUACCCGACUCUUCACUCGAGAGCUUCUCGCCGUCCACCUGAUCAAGAUUAAAGCACUGAGGUGGGAACCAGCGGACAUUAAGUCCAAGAGGGAAACCGACAUCGAGAGGAAAAGAUUGGAUCAAACGCGGUGGGAGAACUGCUGCUCUCGAAGGCCAAACACUCACGGCGCACAAUUACAGCUCAACAAGGAAUAUAAACGGGGCAGCAGGACGGCCCGUCACCUGUAGAGACUGUGUGAUGUAGAGCGGGGCAGGACUCCCCCGACGGGAGAGGACCCUCCAUCCCUUCAUACGCCGCCAGUGGGAGAUUCUAUUAAAGCGUCAGCGGGCGCUGGUGGUGCUGGUGGGGUUCGGCGGA